UACGAAGGGGGCUAGCGUUGCUCGGAAUGACUGGGCGUAAAGGGCGCGUAGGCGGUUCGUACAGUCAGACGUGAAAUUCCCGGGCUCAACCUGGGGGCUGCGUUUGAUACGUGCGGGCUUGAGUUCGGAAGAGGGUCGUGGAAUUCCCAGUGUAGCGGUGAAAUGCGCAGAUAUCGGGAAGAACACCCGUGGCGAAGGCGGCUCUCUGGGACGGUACUGACGCUGAGACGCGAAAGCGUGGGGAGCGAACAGG
rnacentral:rRNA from 1 species